rnacentral:lncRNA from 1 species
AUUAGAAUUUUGCUUUAUAUGUUGAAUUAUUAUAUUAUGUUUACUGAUGAAGGCUAUUUAUGUAUGCCAAAGGCACUUUAAAUAAAUAUUUUAAUUCUCUGAAAGAUUGGUUUCUGAAGUGCUUCUUUAUACUGUGUUCCAUAUCACUUGUACAGCCAUUUGGAGUGUCUGGAUGGCCACAUGGUAAUGCAUUGGUAUGCUGGGUUAAUAUGUUAAAAUGCAAAUCCACUGUACUUUUCAUAAAAUGCUGGAUCCUGCAGUUUAACUGAAGAUUGGACAGAUACAGUGACAGUGAUCUAUAACAGCUUCUAUUAUACUCCUUAUUCACACUUUUAACAAAAAACCAUAAGGAGUCCGACACACAUUGCAGUUGUGACGGGACAUAUUUAAUAUU